rnacentral:rRNA from 1 species
UUUCGAAUCAUUCACAAUGGGCGAAAGCCUGAUGGUGCGACGCCGCGUGAGGGACGAAGGUCUUCGGAUUGUAAACCUCUGUCACCGGGGAAGAAACGCUAUGAGCUAACAGUUCAUAGCCUGACUUAACCCGGAGAGGAAGCAGUGGCUAACUCUGUGCCAGCAGCCGCGGUAAUACAGAGACUGCAAGCGUUAUUCGGAUUCACUGGGCGUAAAGGGUGCGCAGGCGGCCAUGUGUGUCUGGUGUGAAAUCUCGGGGCUUAACGCCGAAAUGGCGCCGGAAACUAGAUGGCUAGAGUACUGAAGAGGGUAGCGGAAUUCAUGGUGUAGCAGUAAAAUGCGUAGAUAUCAUGAGAAACACCAAUGGCGAAGGCAGCUACCUGGACAGUUACUGACGCUCAGGCACGAAAGCGUGGGGAGCAAAAG